CCACCACAGGCUGCAAUGCAGCAACCUCUCCCUGAGACCCUCCUGAGUGGGCUGAUUGGAAACUCUCUGUCGAAGGACUGGAUACUGAUGGGUUGAGGGCUUCGCCUUCUGCAGGCACAGCAGAGGCUUCUUCUAAACAAGUUGUUGUUCACACAUCUGCUGGUGUCUGCUGAUGUCAUGAGUCAUAACGUCCAGCAGCCAAUCAUCGCUGUUUCUAUGGGGAAGACUACUGCUCUCUGCCAAUGAGCUCUUCAGGUUACCAACCUUUACAUGCUUGAAUGUCACAGAACUGUCUAUGGACCACAUCAGCCGGGCCAGUAAUGUAGCACCAGGGCCUCCGAGAGGAAUCUGGAUUUCUGCAGUAAUUGUGAUCUCCAACACCUACAAGAGGAAUGGAAAUGAAAGACAUCACGCUAGUUUCCAAGAGAGUCUCUGUGUGACUGUGUGUAUCUGGGAAUAAAGCAGUAGAUCCAUUAAUCAUUAAUUUGACUACAUCACAGCACAAUGAACAGACUACCAGGAGCACAAAGGAUAAAAACAUCUGCUGCAUAAAAGAGGCCUGUGCAGGCUGGAUUUAUCUUUUACAGUAAUGAAAAGUUCACACUACCCCCCCACCCACACACACACAUACAUAUCUGUAAUAGUUUCUAAAUGAAAGGUAAACAAGGAGGUCUUUGUUUUACC